rnacentral:rRNA from 1 species
GACGAACGCUGGCGGCGUGCCUAAUACAUGCAAGUUGAGCGCUGAAGGUUGGUACUUGUACCAACUGGAUGAGCAGCGAACGGGUGAGUAACGCGUGGGGACUCUCCUUUUGAGCAGGGGACAACAUUGGGAAACGAAUGCUAAUACCGCAUAAAAACUUUAAACACAAGUUUUAUGGUUGAAAGAUGCAAUUGCAUCACUCAAAGAUGAUCCCGCGUUGUAUUAGCUAGUUGGUGAGGUAAAGGCUCACCAAGGCGAUGAUACAUAGCCGACCUGAGAGGGUGAUCGGCCACAUUGGGACUGGGACACGGCCCAAACUCCCUCGGGGAGCAGCAAUAGGGAAUCUUCGGCAAUGGGCGGAAGUCUGACCGGGCAACGCCGCGUGAGGGAAGAAGGUUUUCGGAUCCGAAAACUCUGUUGGUAGGGAAGAACGUUGGUGAGAGUGGAAAGCUCACCAAGUGACGGUAACUACCCAGAAAGGGACGGCUAACUACGUG